rnacentral:misc_RNA from 1 species
AACCAUAGAAACCUGCGGAGUACCUGCGGAAGGAUCAUUACCGAGUUUACAACUCCCAAACCCAUGUGAACAUACCUAUCGUUGCUUCGGCGGAUCGCCCCGGGCGCCUUGCGUGCCCCGGAUCCAGGCGGCCGCCGGGGGACCUUAACUCUCGUUUUUACUGAGAAUCUUCUGAGUCGUUUUUACAAAUAAAUAAAAACUUUCAACAACGGAUCU